UUGAACGCUGGCGGCAUGCCUUACACAUGCAAGUCGAACGGUAGAGGGGCAACCCUUGAGAGUGGCGAACGGGUGAGUAAUAUAUCGGAACGUGCCCAGUCGUGGGGGAUAACGCAGCGAAAGCUGCGCUAACACCGCAUACGAUCUAUGGAUGAAAGCGGGGGAUCGCAAGACCUCGCGCGAUUGGAGCGGCCGAUAUCAGAUUAGGUAGUUGGUGGGGUAAAAGCCCACCAAGCCGACGAUCUGUAGCUG
rnacentral:rRNA from 1 species